AAUCCAUAGGUUAAUGAGGCGAACCGGGGGAACUGAAACAUCUAAGUACCCCGAGGAAAAGAAAUCAACCGAGAUUCCCCCAGUAGCGGCGAGCGAACGGGGAGGAGCCCAGAGCCUGAAUCAGCAUGUGUGUUAGUGGAAGCGUCUGGAAAGGCGCGCGAUACAGGGUGACAGCCCCGUACACAAAAGCGCAUGUGCUGUGAGCUCGAUGAGUAGGGCGGGACACGUGGUAUCCUGUCUGAAUAUGGGGGGACCAUCCUCCAAGGCUAAAUACUCCUGACUGACCGAUAGUGAACCAGUACCGUGAGGGAAAGGCGAAAAGAACCCCGGCGAGGGGAGUGAAAAAGAACCUGAAACCGUGUACGUACAAGCAGUGGGAGCCCCACCACUAAGCCAGUGGUGAACUCCACAUCCGCAUCCUUUGCU
rnacentral:rRNA from 1 species